AGGACUGUAGUUAAGUAUAACAUUUGAUUUGCAUUCAAAAAGUAUUAGAAUUCUCUAAUCUGUCUUG
rnacentral:tRNA from 1 species